rnacentral:rRNA from 1 species
GUCUACGGUUAUACCACCCUGAAUGUGCCCAAUCUCAUCUGAUCUCGGAAGCUAAGCAGGGUCGGGCCUGGUUAGUACUUGGAAGGGAGCUUGUUUAUGAUGUGUCUAGAUA